UCCGUAGGCGGGUAAUUAAGUCAGAGGUGAAAUCCCACAGCUUAACUGUGGAACUGCCUUAGAUACUGGUUAUCUUGAGUUUUAGUGAAGUAGAUAGAAUGUGUAGUGUAGCGGUGAAAUGCAUAGAUAUUACACAGAAUACCGAUUGCGAAGCAGUCUACUAACUAACAACUGACGCUAAUGGACGAAAGCGUGGGGAGCGAACAGGAUUAGAUACCCUGGUAGUC
rnacentral:rRNA from 1 species